CCGACCUUAGCUCAGUUGGUAGAGCGGAGGACUGUAGUAUGUGCAGCUUAAUCCUUAGGUCGCUGGUUCGAAUCCGGCAGGUCGGA
rfam:Dichanthelium oligosanthes cultivar Kellogg 1175 unplaced genomic scaffold Do_version_2_scaffold573, whole genome shotgun sequence.